GAAUAAUUUUAAACAGGAAUGAUCUAAUCUAACUUCUAUUUUUAAAGGGUUUUACUGAACGUAUGCUAUACUUCCCUUUUUAAAAAGGGAGAAAGACUUAAAGGAAUAAAGAUGUCUUGGGCUACUGUGUGGAAGAUUGAAGAGAGGCAAAAACAGAAGCAGGUUGAACAAGAAGGAAACUAUUGGUGUACUUUAUUAAAGGGAUAGUGGGUCCUAACAGAGUGAAAAUGGGGAGAAGAGGACAGAGACAAAAUAUAUUUAGGAGGCAGAAAACACAGGUGUUAAUAAUAUAUUAUAAAUAGAGAAUGGAGAAGAAAGAAAAAUGACUCUGAACUUCCUGGCUUGAGCAAUGGGGGGUAAAUAGGGUAUCACAUACAAAAAAUGAAAAGGUUUAGGAAGGAGUAAAUAAGAUGAAUUGAGAGUUUGAUUUCAAAUUCCUUCAGUUUGGAAUUUCCAUGGAAUUCCCACUUUGGAGAUAUCAGAUAGGCAGUUAGAUAUAUGAUAUUAGAACACAGAGAGAUGUGAAAUACAAAUCUAUUUCUCAUUGGCAUAUUUAGAUGGGAUUUAUACCCCUAAACAUGGCUGAGAUCUCUAAAGGAGAGAGUAGAGAGAAAUUAGAGAAGCAGGUCUAGGGACAAACCUCAGGAAACAUCAACACAUACCAGAGGAGUAUCCUGCAAAGGAAACUGAUGAAGAAUAGCCAGAGAGAAAGGUCAGGAGAAGGUUUUGUCUCUGGGGAACUAGAAGGUGGAAGUAUGGAAGAUCAUUGAGCUGAAAGCAAUUAAGAUGUAGUAAAUGCACGAAUUCUCUCUGCCUUCCUUCUGUCUUCCUACAAGCUGAACAUAGAUUUACAAAGAUAAAAGAUUUCCCCCACCUUCUGCCAGGGAAAACAAAGGUUAGCCACUGAGGACACCAUUGGAUUCAGCUUGGAGGUGGUCCCAGCGGAGUCUAUGUUAACAACCUUUACCAACCAGUCUUCGUCUGCCAUUUAUUUGCCUUGCCUCAAGCUGCUACCCAUAGGGACUCAAAGUCCUCUUUCUUUGUUUUGUCACUUCUCUAAAAGCUUACUGUUCUUUGUUGCAGAUGCUGUAAGCUGAAAUUCAAAGCUACCUCUUUGAGAACUACUACUUCCCUGGGUGUUUCUUAUGUACAUACGAAACAUACAUGUUCAUAAAUUUGUUUGAUUUCUCUUGUUAAUCUGUCUUGUGUAACAGAGCUCUCAAGUCCAACUAAGAACCUAUGGGUUAUUCUUCUCCUAUAUGACAAAGAAAUAGUGUUUCAGGAAGGAAAUGACAAAUGCUUCUAAGAGGUUGAGUAAGGUGAGGACUAAAAUGUGACCAUUGAUUUUGGAAAUAAUAUAGUGUAAGCUUGACAUGAUUGAUAAUUAGAGGACAUUGAGAAGUGAUAGGGAGUAAAACAUGGAAAUAGCAGAUGGAGAUAGUACCAAACUGCAACUGAACAUAAACGGAUUAUUUGGAAGAAGUUUUCACAUCUCCACCAAAGGAGCAGCAUCAGAUACAUAAACACUGCUGCAAUGUCAAAGAGUUCCAGGGUCGUGACUCCUGGGAUACUCUGCCCUGACAUGCCAUUACUCUUCUUUUCUGCCCUGACUCUGUGGUAUGUCUUCCAACUAGACUCUUGGGAAAGUCUUGUAUUGAAAACCCCCAUGGGUACAUAAUCAUUUCCCCUAGGCUCAGUGCAAUUUUCACCUCUUCUUUCAGAUCCCCCUACCUUUCUCAAGUAAAAUGAGUGAAUUUUCUUCUCUGGAGUCCCACUAUAUGAAUUCAUUGUUGUUCCAUGUAUUAGACUGACUUAUAAUUGCUUGAGUGUAUGUCCCAACUAGACUGUGACCACACUGAGGGAGGGGACUUGGUUUGGAAAGUGAGAUUGGCUCCCAAGUUUUAUCCAAACAAAUAAGACCAUUUUACAACAGGAUUCCCUUCUCUUAUGUGGUGCAGUAUCUAUCUAUAUUCCACUUUUUCCCAUCUUUUGUUUGUUCCAUCCCACCACCUCUCAAGAUUAUUACAAUAGGAUUAGGACUGACUAAUUGGUUUAAAAGUUUAUUUAUGUUUUAGGUAGAGUACAAAUCAAAAUACAUUUGUAGCAAAAGUUUUCUCUAAUCCGUGCACCAAAAGCUGCAUUUUCUGUUUUAAUCCAAUAUAUUUCUUGUCUUGUAUUUAAGUAAGUAAGAUGAGUAAGAUCAUCAUAAUCAUGUUGUUUAGGAAAUUCAUCACAAGGAAUAAAAAAUAUGUUACUAGAAAACUAAAUUCUUGGACACCCUGGUGAAAAAAAUCUUCCAUCCUGCUGAUUUCCAAACAUUGGCCCUCCCCUCAGGUUUCAAGAAAUAACCCACAAUUUCUUGGGGACCCAGCUGUCUGUACAGCUUUUCUUGUUCUCUCCCAGUAGAGUGGCUUCAAGGGCCUAUGUUGACCCUUACUGAUUUUUUUGACAUUUUGUCUUUCAGAACCAGAGGCAGGAGAGGUGUCCCCUCCAGUCGGUGCUGGAGUCAACAGCAACAGCUGGACCUUUAAAUACGGACCCGGCAACCCGAAACAAUCCGGUCCCGAACCUAAAAAGCAGACCCAAGUUUCCUUUCUCCUCCGCCGCAAAGGAGAAGCAUCCCAGUCCCGCCAGUGAGAGGUUGGACUCUCUGCCCUGUGCUCCGGGGAUCCUGUCUUGAUGACACUUGCAGGGCAGGCUGAAUGAUUUUGAGAUUGAGCAGCUUGAGUGUUUGUGGCCACUGCAGAUAUUUCAGUGCCAGAUAUUGGCUGAGGUGGGUCAGAUUAGACUAUUUGCACAAAAAGGGCUGGGAAAUAAAGGCAAGUAAACAGUGGGAGUUAUCAGUCUGGAGGGGAAAUGUGAGACUGAAGAAACCAGACUUUCUAAAUUUUAUAACUCAAGAGGUAGUAGCCAACCUCUAGCAGACAAAACUUUCCCCCACUGACAAGGCUUUAGGAGUUCCUAAAGUCUGUUUGCUAUGGUGUCCUUGUACCUAAAACCUGCAUUAUACAUACAAGCAAACAGUUCAGUGUUUAACAGAGGGUCAACCAGGGCAACAGAAGCAGAUCUGAUGUGUUUCCUGUAUAUGUCCUUGUGCUCACUUUAUUAAAAAUUCUUUUGCACACAAUGUUUAUGAAAAGGCCAGAUCCUUUUCCAAACACAUAUGCAAAAGCAAAAGAAAAAAAGAAAAACCCAACACCUCAUUUUAUGCUGUUUGUUAUUUGAUAGAUUUAUUUAAAAAAGAGAAAGUCUAUAACUAUAAAUCUUCAAAGAGAAAUAUGAUGAAUAUUUCCCCUAAACUCCCCUCAAAAGAGAAUUCAGUCUACAGCCAUUUAAAUGAUCAUUGCUGCUACAGAAGUGCUUUAAGAGAAUUGCCUGAAACAUCUGUAUUAUACCGGCCACCCGCCAAUCACAGCUUUACUCUUUCAGGUCACUCUGGGGCUGCCUCUUGCAUGUAUUAAUUACUAAAUAAAAGGAUCUUUCUUUCUCUUUUCUAAGAAAAAAUGAUGUGCACUUUGAAUACACAACCUUCUCUAACCAACUCUAUCAAGACCCAGAAAUUGAAGAAAAAUACUGUUUUCGCAUACAUACAGUGAGCAGACUUUUCAAUCCUCUAAUUCUGUGACUUGUCUUGGUGUGCUAGCCUACACCUUCUCUUUGGUUUAGUUAUCCUUUUCUAUAACACUCUGAAUUGCUAAUCUUACUAACACCUAUGAUGUUACCUGAAAUCAAUCUCCCAUAUGUAUGCUGUAUGCUAUUAUAAGACUCCUGAAAUAUACUUACUCUGUGCUUGUGUAUGUGAAUGUUAAUGCAACUAUUACCUAGAGUGAACUUUAAGCUUUAUUGUUGAAUGUAAUUCCAUUAUAUUUCCUUUUGUACACCUGUGAAAAAGUGGAGUAGUGUUUUUUUAACCAUUGUUAAUCCGCUUUUGUGUAUGAAAGACACAGUAAAAUUUCUUUCUUAAAUCAAGAUACUGGUGAUUCAAGGAAUUUUAUUUAUGGUCAGCCAAGAGCUAGCUCUUGCCAAGAUUCCUCUGGCAAGGGAAUGGAUAAAGCUGUUUUUUUCUAGUAACAAUUCUGGAAUGAAUACUGGAGAUAUUCCCUGAAGGUGUGCAAGCACAAAUUUUACCAAUCUGACCUCUUUGAAGUUGCAGAAUGCUUGAAAUUCUAAUGCUAUCUGGAAUAUCAGCUCAUAGAAAAUAAUAAAAUUUACUGUUACCUUAAAUAACACAUUUUAAUUUUGUUAUGUACGAUUUACAAGUUUGAUUAUAUUUAAAAGGUAAUAUAAAGGAAGUAAGAGUCUGUCAUAGAAAAAAAGGCAUUAAAUCUAAAAAACAAAAAAAAAAAACUGUCUUGUCUACUUUUAGCUUCAUUCUCCCAUAUUUUGAAGGGUGUGUAACUUCAGCUCUGCAGGAUUGCAUGGGGUAAAACUUGUUGCCAACACAUGUAAACCAUUGCUACAUUGUAGGUUGUGAUCAUUUUGCCCCACUGAAGCCCAUGUAACUGACCUUACGUGCCUUUUGAACUAGGAGAAUCGGGCUAAUUUAUUAAUGAUGAUAAUUAUAAUGUAUCUGUACAGCACUUUUUAAAUUUGUGAAGUGCUUUCCAAUCCAUGUUAGUUACUAGUCCAUUACAGCUGUAAGGAUAAAACACGUCAUGUGGAUUCAUUUUUAAUUGGUGCUAUUGGUAUUUCCUCUGUUAUUGCUAAUAAAUGGAAACUGGUGGUAUGAAA